rnacentral:rRNA from 1 species
AACUAACUAGGAUUCCCUCAGUAGCUGCGAGCGAACAGGGAUAAGCCCAGCACCGAAUCCCGCGGCCGAUACCGGACGCCGGGAAAUGUGGUGUUCGGGAGGGUCCAUUAUCCCGAGAUUAUGCGGUGCGUCCAAGUCCUUCUUGAACGGGGCCACAGCCCAUAGAGGGUGCCAGGCCCGUAGCGACCGCCGCUGAUCGCGGGAGGAUCUCUCCUCAGAGUCGGGUUGCUUGAGAGUGCAGCCCUAAGUGGGUGGUAAACUCCAUCUAAGGCUAAAUAUGACCACGAGACCGAUAGCGAACAAGUACCGUGAGGGAAAGUUGAAAAGCACUUUGAAGAGAGAGUUCAAGAGUACGUGAAACCGUUUAGGGGUAAACCUGAGAAACCCGAAAGGUCGAAGGGAGAAAUUCAUUCGCGUUUCGACGCAGGCGUCGAACGGUUGUGCGACGGGAAACGCGUUCGCGUGUUAUCCGCACCUUCCGUUCGUCGAACCGGCAGCGAACGCGUGCACUUUUCUCCUGGUAGGACGUCGCGAUCCGUUGGGUGUCGGUCUACGGCUCGCGGUGGAGCCCGUUCGUCGCGCGCGUCUCAACAACGCCGUGCGAACGGACCCGCGUGUCCCGGCCGACUCGCUCGACGGUAUACGAAAGGUUUAAGGCCGCUCUCGUUUUGGCGAGCGUUCGACUCGCGGCAAGCGCGUCAGAUGCGUCGGCGAUCGGACCUAGUGCCGAUUCUGACCUCUGAUGACUGUUGGCUGCGAUGUUCUCUCUCGAACAGACC